rnacentral:rRNA from 1 species
UACAGAGGGUGCUAGCGUUGUUCGGAAUCAUUGGGCGUAAAGGGCGUGUAGGCGGUUUGUUAAGUCAUGUGUGAAAUCCCUCGGCUCAACCGGGGGAACGACGCAUGAAACUGGCAAGCUAGAGUACCAAAGAGGGGGGUGGAAUUCCCGGUGUAGCGGUGAAAUGCGUAGAGAUCGGGAGGAACACCGGCGGCGAAGGCGGCUGCCUGGACCAGUCCUGACGCUGAGGCGCGAAAGCUAGGGGAGCAAACAGG